GGCCAGCUCAGGCAGGGGCAGUGACUGACAGAUCGGGGCUCGGGUGGGCAGAGGGGGCUGAGGGAGGGCAGGGGCGGGGCCCUGCUGUUAAAGGGAAAGGGAUGGCUGGAUGUGCCAGGCGCAGGCAGAGGAGGGCGCGGGUGUCAGGAAGGCGCGGUGCGCGGGAGGGGCCGCUGACUCAGCCGGGAUGCUCGCGCGCCCGCAUCCUCUCCGGCCUCCGCCUUCGGGCUGCCUCAACCUCGCGGGUUCCUCGGCAGGUGCUUCUGUCCCCAGCCCCCACUCUUCGCCUCCCGAUGGGUGCCGCUGGCCAGCUCCUGGAUUCGUUGUGGCCACUACCCAAAUGCCCUCUGAGACCAAAUCUCGUUGUGGCUUCCUGGCUGUGUAAGAAGUGGCUGGGGGACGGCGAUCCGCGACCAGGAGUCCUAGGAAGAGGCCAGGCGAAAGGGCGACAUUGGGGACCCGCUGAGGCCGUGGGAGGCUCUCCGCUCCGCAUCCUACAGACACUUCACCCCACCCAAGCCCCAGAAAACGCGCCUGGAGCGUGCCAGCCAAGGAGAGUGGGGGAAGGAUGAAGCGGCUCAGUGACCUUGUGACCUCUGGGCGCGAACCCAGGAACUGAGAAUAUGUGACCUCGGUGUCCCUCCCUUGGAUGGGACCCCUGCCGGGCGGGCCCCUAAGCCGAAGACACGCCCCCGCCGCCACCCUGCCCGGUGCAGGCCGCCAUAAUCGGGUUAGCUAGGCCGGAAUUACAUUACCUUCCCCAGCCCGCCCCGGCCCUGGGGGGGGCCCUGGCGCCUCCGAGCCGGACCCUCCCUGUUCUGAGCUACAGAGGGAGGGUACACCUAACAUGAAGCCCCAAGCAAAGCACAGAGUACACCUCACUGCAUGGACGUCUGGGGACCUGCCUGGCCUAGAAAAACAGCCUCCCCUUUUUCCCCCCAGCAGGGGAACUGGCUUGCAGGUGUGUUCAAGAAGGUGAUCUUAAUGAGGGCAAGUAACUGUGUCUCUCACCAAACUGAAUAAAUCCUUUUGAACACGUCCAAGAAUGAGUCAAUGAAUGAGAAACAGACAAAUUGGUGAAGACCUGACUUUCACCUUUUGAGGUCUGCGCAGGUGGCACUCACCCGCUGAUGACCUUUUGAGGAGAAUGGUCACAACUGGCAAUACAAACAAAUCUGGGAGCUAAUGAGGAACCUGUCUAGUACCUGGCUAUAAGGACCGAGGACAUCCAAUCUUGCUAGCCCUACCUGGGAGUUUCUCGCCCCAUCUCUGCUUGAAUGGUUCCUGCUAGUUCAAAUUGAAGAUGGAGGUUCUAGGUAAGUGCUCCGUCCUGCCCUACCCUAUGCAAUUGUGACACAUGACCACAAGUGUUUCUUUUCCUCUCCCUAACCCCAUUUUUUUUUAAUGUUUGGGAUUGUGUCUUGUGGUGAUAUAUUGUUUAUGAUUUAUUAAAGCCGCUGGUGGUGGUACACACCUUUAAUCACAGGACUCAGGAUUAAGGGGUAGAUGGAUUUCUGUUAGUUCAAGGCCACACUGAAUACACAAAAUUGAUCCAGCCCUAAAAGAAACAGCUCACACAAAGGUGAUCUCAGCACCUGGGAUCACAGGCCUCUGAUCCCAGCACUAGGGAGGUGGAAACAGGAGUGAUAUGGCUGGGUGAAGAAAGGCAUAUAAGGAGGAGAUGGGAAUUCAGAGCUUUUGCCUGUGAGGAUUCGUGGAGACAGGAUUGCCAUUUCAGCUGGGUAGGGUAAGAUCUACUGGCUUGGCCGCUUUGCUUCUCUGAUCUUCAGCUUGAAGCUUGAGCCCCAAUAUCAGUCUCUGGGUCUUGUAUUGUUUGUGUGUUUGUGCUACAGUGUCUUGCAAUGUAGCUCAAGCUGGGCUUAAAUUCUCCAUCCCCCUACCUCCCUGACAGUAGGCUAAUGGGCUUGCACCAUCAUACCCAUUUACUCCUAAGUGUCUGACUCACUUGAAGAAGCUAAGUGCCCCACCGAGGCUCCUUCCCUUCCCUUCCUCCGUGAAGUUAGUUUUUCUUCAAGAUGGCUCCAACUCUUAUGUCACCAUGUGUGUCAGCAGUUUAGUCUUUCCUAUGCCCAGCUACCUCAGAAUUUUCUCAUUUGGACAGCCAUUGCCUGACUUACCAAGUGAAAUUUAUAUCUCUUCUUUCCCUUGUUAUGUCCAUGGCUAUUGCCUCCAUU
ensembl:lncRNA